rnacentral:rRNA from 1 species
UACGUAGGGGGCAAGCGUUGUCCGGAAUCAUUGGGCGUAAAGAGCGUGUAGGCGGCUCGAUAAGUCCGCUGUGAAAGUCCAGGGCUCAACCCUGGAAGGCCGGUGGAAACUGUCGGGCUAGAGUCCGGAAGAGGCGAGUGGAAUUCCCGGUGUAGCGGUGGAAUGCGUAGAGAUCCGGAAGAACACCGGUGGCGAAGGCGGCCUGCUGGGCAGUUGCUGACACUGAGGCGCGACAGCGUGGGGAGCAAACAGG